rnacentral:rRNA from 1 species
UAACUGCCUGGUGAGGGGGAGUAACUAUUGGAAACGAUAGCUAAUACCGCAUAAUAGUAGAUGUUGCAUGACAUUUGCUUAAAAGGUGCAAUUGCAUCACUACCAGAUGGACCUGCGUUGUAUUAGCUAGUUGGUGAGGUAACGGCUCACCAAGGCAACGAUACAUAGCCGACCUGAGAGGGUGAUCGGCCACACUGGGACUGAGACACGGCCCAG